rnacentral:rRNA from 1 species
GACGAACGCUGGCGGCGUGCUUAACACAUGCAAGUCGAACGGAAAGGCCCUGCUUUUGGGGGGUGCUCGAGUGGCGAACGGGGGAGUAACACGGGAGUAACCGGCCCGUGACUUUGGGAUAACUUCAGGAAACUGGGGCUAAUACCGGAUAGGAGCUCCUGCUGCAUGGUGGGGGUUGGAAAGUUUCGGCGGUUGGGGAUGGACUCGCGGCUUAUCAGCUUGUUGGUGGGGUAGUGGCUUACCAAGGCUUUGACGGGUAGCCGGCCUGAGAGGGUGACCGGCCACAUUGGGACUGAGAUACGGCCCAGACUCCUACGGGAGGCAGCAGUGGGGAAUAUUGCACAAUGGGCGGAAGCCUGAUGCAGCAACGCCGCGUGCGGGAUGACGGCCUUCGGGUUGUAAACCGCUUUCGCCUGUGACGAAGCGUGAGUGACGGUAAUGGGUAAAGAAGCACCGGCUAACUACGUG